rnacentral:lncRNA from 1 species
AUUUGACUCUCCAUUAGGUGUGUAGUAAUAUAGCAUUUGAAUUUGCAUUUCCCUAAUAACAUGAUGUGGAGCAUAUUUUCACAUGCUUAUUUUCCAUCUGUAUAACUUUGGUGAACUGUUGGUUUCUACUCUGUAUUGUUGAUUUAUGACCUCAUAAUAAGGAAGGAUUUCAUAGAGAUAUUGUUAUCUAUUUUCUUCUAAAUAUCUCAUUUGUAGGUUUGCUUUUCUUGAUCUAUAACCAAAUAGAUUUUGAGUAUGAUCUGAGAUAAGGAUUAUAUUUCACUUUUUUCCCACAAUUAUAAUAAGGUAAUGCUGGAAAAAAGUGAAAUACUUUUUACCCAUUGAUUUGCAAAACCACUCUGUCAUCCAUCAGACAUGCAUACACGUCUAAUUCUGGGCUAUCUUUUGUGCCAUCAGUUUUCUGUCCAUCAGUACACCACAACCACAUGGUCUGAAUCACUGUAACUUUUUAUACAAUGUGACAUUUGGGAGAGCUGUCCACUUGUCUUGUCCUUAAAAGAAGUC